UACGGAGGGGGCUAGCGUUGUUCGGAAUUACUGGGCGUAAAGCGCACGUAGGCGGCUUUGCAAGUUAGAGGUGAAAGCCCGGGGCUCAACUCCGGAAUUGCCUUUAAAACUGCAUCGCUAGAAUUGUGGAGAGGUAAGUGGAAUUCCGAGUGUAGAGGUGAAAUUCGUAGAUAUUCGGAAGAACACCAGUGGCGAAGGCGACUCGCUGGACAAGUAUUGACGCUGAGGUGCGAAAGCGUGGGGAGCAAACAGG
rnacentral:rRNA from 1 species